GCACCAAAUCCCCCCACCAUGGAUCACCGCCUCCUCCUCCUCGGCCUCCUCCUCCUCUCCCCGGCGGUGGCCGCCGCCUCAGUCCCCGGCGAGGAGGAGCCGCUGAUCCGGCAGGUGGUCGGCGGCGGCGACGACAACGAGCUGGAGCUGAACGCGGAGCGCCACUUCGCCAGCUUCGUCCAGAGGUUCGGGAAGUCCUACCGUGACGCCGACGAGC
rnacentral:misc_RNA from 1 species